AUAUAUAUAUAUAUAUAUAUAUAUAUAUAUAUAUAUAUAUAUAUUAAAUGGUGAAUUGACAAAAAAAGAUUUUGCAUAAGAUUUUCAAUUAAUUAUUUGCAUUAUUGGUGUAUACAGGUGUAUUAUUGUGGGAGCAUGUGAUUAGUUAAUGAAUUGUGUGUGGCGGAUACUUUAUGGCAAAUCGCAGACUUAUAAGUGCAUUACCGCCACCUAUCUCUCAAAUGGCCCAUUAACACUUGAUCUACAAUCUCAAUUAGGAGUGUCAGUGUCCAGUUCAGAGAUAGGUGACCGUCACUUAUAAGUCUGCGAUCCGCCAUAAAGCAAGCAAGAAGAAGAUGAUGCAGGCUAACAGUUCGGACAUUGCGUGAAACAGAGGUAAAAAAAAAAAAAACCGAGAUAAAUACUGUUCCGUUUCUUGCACAGACCGAUCGUUUUGUGUCUUUACACAUCAACGUAUCCUCACGAGUCGCAGCGUUUAAUUUGGAUUUUUCUGUGCAUGUUUUUUUUUCCCUUCCAUUGAUUCUGUUUCCAUUUGCCAUGCAUUGUACGACUGAGAGACUGCAACGCCUGAAGCUAAAAAUCAUAAUGUGUUCUACUGAAGAAACAAAGUCACCUACAUCUUGGAUGCCCUGGGGCUAAGCAGAUAAACAUCAAAUUUUCAUUUUUGGGCGAACUAUCGCUUUAAGUAGUUGUACUUUUUUGAGUAUAUUUUUAAAGCUGUACUUUUACUUGUACUUAAGUACAAAUUAAGCAAAAUAAUUUUACUUCGUUUAUUUUUAAAUCAUAGUUCGUUACUGAGUACGCCCACAGUUUGAAUUGAUAUUCAAACCUUUGAAGGCACUUCAGUAGCCAAUAAAAAUAUCCGAUCGUAAAGGGACCAAUAAAAGCGCUGAUAUCUGAACCGGGAAAAGCGACGCGUCGCUGCAGCAGGUGAAGAGUUGAUCAGACAGUGAGGGAACUCAGCGUAAUUUAUGGACUCAAAGCUCGGAGAAACAGUCUACAUGAGCUCCAUGAACCAAAUGACCGCAAGGCGGCGGCGCCAGCGAGAUCAGAGCAGCAUGUCGCAACUCUGUUUUUCAAUUGCCCUGGCUUUAACCAAGGCGCUGCAACUAUUUGCCCAUGCUAUCCGCUCAUUCAUCCACAAACCAAAGCAGACAGCCAAACUCCAAACAUUUUCAUCUGGACAGGUUUUCUUUAUCCUUCAUCACCACUUAAGAGGCAGUUUUGCUCAGAAAUAAACUAGACUUUACUUACUUUCUAAACAUGGCAUCCUUGCAUAAACUACUUAUGAAUGGUACAUGUUAUAUAAAUAUAAAUUUUGUCAUGCUUUUUAGUAGAAUUCAGAAAUGAUCCUCUUGUUUGACUGGGAAUAAACUCAUCACUUUAAAGACCCAUAGUGAAGUGCCUUUUGUUUUUUCACACAAAGUUGAACAUUUAAAGUCAAUUGAAGAUUUUUAUCAGGGUUAAACUACAUUUACAGGUUUAUGCCUGUGGGUUUGUUCCAUUGAAAUUAGCCAAAUUAUAUCGUUGGACCUUGGAAAUCCACUGUAAUCUAUACAUUUAUCCUCCAUUAUCUUUCUAAGUUCCG
ensembl:lncRNA